rnacentral:rRNA from 1 species
GGUGAAGGUGGCGGACGGGUGAGUAACGCGUAAAGAACUUGCCUUACAGACUGGGACAACAUUUGGAAACGAAUGCUAAUACCGGAUAUUAUGACUGAGUCGCAUGAUUUGGUUAUGAAAGCUAUAUGCGCUGUGAGAGAGCUUUGCGUCCCAUUAGUUAGUUGGUGAGGUAACGGCUCACCAAGACGAUGAUGGGUAGCCGGCCUGAGAGGGUGAACGGCCACAAGGGGACUGAGACACGGCCCUUACUCCUACGGGAGGCAGCAGUGGGGAAUAUUGGACAAUGGACCAAAAGUCUGAUCCAGCAAUUCUGUGUGCACGAUGAAGUUUUUCGGAAUGUAAAGUGCUUUCAGUUGGGAAGAAGUCAGUGACGGUACCAACAGAAGAAGCGACGGCUAAAUACGUGCCAGCAGCCGCGGUAAUACGUAUGUCGCAAGCGUUAUCCGGAUUUAUUGGGCGUAAAGCGCGUCUAGGCGGUUUAGUAAGUCUGAUGUGAAAAUGCGGGGCUCAACCCCGUAUUGCGUUGGAAACUGCUAAACUAGAGUACUGGAGAGGUAGGCGGAACUACAAGUGUAGAGGUGAAAUUCGUAGAUAUUUGUAGGAAUGCCGAUGGGGAAGCCAGCCUACUGGACAGAUACUGACGCUAAAGCGCGAAAGCGUGGGUAGCAAACAGGAUUAGAUACCCCUGGUAGUCCACGCCGUAAACGACCCUACUAGGUGUUGGGGGUCGAACCUCAGCGCCCAAGCUAACGCGAUAAGUAUCCGCCUGGGAGUAAUACGCAAGU